rnacentral:rRNA from 1 species
GGGGGGUGCAAGCGUUAAUCGGAAUUACUGGGCGUAAAGCGCGCGUAGGCGGUCUGGUCAGUCGGAUGUGAAAGCCCCGGGCUCAACCUGGGAAUUGCAUUCGAUACUGCCCGACUAGAAUAUGGAAGAGGGAAGUGGAAUUUCCGGUGUAGCGGUGAAAUGCGUAGAGAUCGGAAGGAACACCAGUGGCGAAGGCGGCUUCCUGGUCCAAUAUUGACGCUGAGGUGCGAAAGCGUGGGGAGCGAACAGGGAUUAGAUACCCUGGUAGUCCACGCCGUAAACGAUGAGAACUAGAUGUCGGGAGGGUUUAGCCUUUCGGUGUCGCAGCUAACGCGUUAAGUUCUCCGCCUGGGGGAGUACGGUGGCAACACUA